AUUAAACGCUGGCGGCAUGCCUUACACAUGCAAGUCGAACGGUAACGGGCCUUCGGGUGCCGACGAGUGGCGAACGGGUGAGUAAUGUAUCGGAACGUACCUUUCAGUGGGGGAUAACGUAGCGAAAGUUACGCUAAUACCGCAUAUUCUGUGAGCAGGAAAGCAGGGGAUCGCAAGACCUUGCGCUGAUUGAGCGGCCGAUAUCAGAUUAGCUAGUUGGUGAGGUAAAGGCUCACCAAGGCGACGAUCUGUAGCGGGUCUGAGAGGAUGAUCCGCCACACUGGAACUGAGACACGGUCCAGACUCCUACGGGAGGCAGCAGUGGGGAAUUUUGGACAAUGGGGGCAACCCUGAUCCAGCCAUGCCGCGUGGGUGAAGAAGGCCUUCGGGUUGUAAAGCUCUUUCGGCCGGGAAGAAAUCGUAUCAGCUAAUACCUGGUGCGGAUGACGGUACCGGCAUAAGAAGCACCGGCUAACUACGUGCCAGCCGCCGCGGUAAUAC
rnacentral:rRNA from 1 species